rnacentral:rRNA from 1 species
GAUGAACGCUGGCGGUAUGCUUAACACAUGCAAGUCGAACGGAGUACAUUGUACUUAGUGGCGGACGGGUGAGUAACGCGUGAGAAUCUGCCUUCAGGAUGGGGAUAACAGUGGGAAACCAAUGCUAAUACCCAAUGAGCCGAGAGGUAAAAAAUUUAUUGCCUGAAGAGGAGCUCGCGUCCGAUUAGUUAGUUGGUGGGGUAAAGGCCUACCAAGGCGGCGAUCGGUAACUGGUCUGAGAGGACGAUCGGUCACACUGGGACUGAGACACGGCCCAGACUCCUACGGGAGGCAGCAGUGGGGAAUUUUCCGCAAUGGGCGCAAGCCUGACGGAGCAAUACCGCGUGAGGGAGGAAGGCCUUUGGGUUGUAAACCUCUUUUCUUAAGGAAGAAGCUCUGACGGUACUUAAGGAAUCAGCAUCGGCUAACUCCGUGCCAGCAGCCGCGGUAAUACGGAGGAUGCAAGCGUUAUCCGGAAUUAUUGGGCGUAAAGCGUCCGUAGGCGGCAUUAUAAGUCUGCUGUCAAAGACCGCAGCUCAACUGCGGAGAGGCAGUGGAAACUGUAAAGCUAGAGUCUGGUAGGGGUAGAGGGAAUUCCCAGUGUAGCGGUGAAAUGCGUAGAGAUUGGGAAGAACACCAGUGGCGAAAGCGCUCUGCUGGGGCAGAACUGACGCUGAGGGACGAAAGCUAGGGGAGCGAAAGGGAUUAGAUACCCCUGUAGUCCUAGCUGU